GUCCCCUUCGUCUAGUGGUCCAGGACGCCGCCCUCUCACGGCGGCAACGCGGGUUCGAAUCCCGCUGGGGACACCA
rnacentral:tRNA from 1 species